rnacentral:rRNA from 1 species
AUUGAACGCUGGCGGCAGGCUUAACACAUGCAAGUCGAGCGGGGGAAGGUAGCUUGCUACUGGACCUAGCGGCGGACGGGUGAGUAAUGCUUAGGAAUCUGCCUAUUAGUGGGGGACAACAUCUCGAAAGGGAUGCUAAUACCGCAUACGUCCUACGGGAGAAAGCAGGGGAUCUUCGGACCUUGCGCUAAUAGAUGAGCCUAAGUCGGAUUAGCUAGUUGGUGGGGUAAAGGCCUACCAAGGCGACGAUCUGUAGCGGGUCUGAGAGGAUGAGCCGCCACACUGGGACGGAGACACGGCCCAGACUCCUACGGGAGGCAGCAGUGGGGAAUAUUGGACAAUGGGGGGAACCCUGAUCCAGCCAUGCCGCGUGUGUGAAGAAGGCCUUAUGGUUGUAAAGCACUUUAAGCGAGGAGGAGGCUACUUUAGUUAAUACCUAGAGAUAGUGGACGUUACUCGCAGAAUAAGCACCGGCUAACUCUGUGCCAGCCGCCGUAAAAC